GACGUAGGGGGCCAGCGUUGCUCGGAAUUACUGGGCGUAAAGGGUUCGUAGGCGGUGCGGUAAGUCGGAAGUGAAAUCUCUGGGCUUAACUCAGAGGCUGCUUUCGAAACUGCCGUGCUGGAGUGCGGGAGAGGCGAGUGGAAUUGCAGGUGUAGCGGUGAAAUGCGUAGAUAUCGAGAGGAACACCUGCGGCGAAGGCGGGUUGCUGGGCUGACACUGACGCUGAUGCGCGAAAGCUAGGGGAGCGAACGGG
rnacentral:rRNA from 1 species